UACGUAGGGGGCAAGCGUUGUCCGGAUUUAUUGGGCGUAAAGAGCGUGUAGGCGGCCAGAUAGGUCUGCUGUGAAAACUCGAGGCUCAACCUCGAGAUGUCGGCGGAAACCAUUUGGCUAGAGUCCGGAAGAGGAAAGUGGAAUUCCUGGUGUAGCGGUGAAAUGCGCAGAUAUCAGGAAGAACACCCGUGGCGAAGGCGGCUCUCUGGGACGUGACUGACGCUGAGACGCGAAAGCGUGGGGAGCAAACAGG
rnacentral:rRNA from 1 species